rnacentral:rRNA from 1 species
CCUGGAAUAACACGAGGAAACUUGUGCUAAUACCGGAUAAGUCUUUACGGAGAAAGCUUUAUGCACCAUUGGAUGAGCCCGCACUUGAUUAGUUUGUUGGUAGGGUAAUGGCCUACCAAGACUAUGAUCAAUAGCUGAUUUGAGAGGAUGAUCAGCCACAUUGGGACUGAGACACGGCCCAAACUCCUACGGGAGGCAGCAGUGGGGAAUCUUGCACAAUGGAGGAAACUCUGAUGCAGCGAUGCCGCGUGAGUGAAGAAGGCCUUUGGGUUGUAAAGCUCUUUCGUCGGGGAAGAAAAUGACUGUACCCGAAUAAG